rnacentral:rRNA from 1 species
CAUGGCUCAGGACGAACGCUGGCGGCGCACCUAACACAUGCAAGUCGAACGAGAGAUGAGGAGCUUGCUCUUCAAAUCGAGUGGCGAACGGGUGAGUAACGCGUGAGGAACCUGCCUCAAAGAGGGGGACAACAGUUGGAAACGACUGCUAAUACCGCAUAAGCCCACGGCUCGGCAUCGAGCAGAGGGAAAAGGAGCAAUCCGCUUUGAGAUGGCCUCGCGUCCGAUUAGCUAGUUGGUGAGGUAACGGCCCACCAAGGCGACGAUCGGUAGCCGGACUGAGAGGUUGAACGGCCACAUUGGGACUGAGACACGGCCCAGACUCCUACGGGAGGCAGCAGUGGGGAAUAUUGCACAAUGGGGGAAACCCUGAUGCGGCGACGCCGCGUGGAGGAAGAAGGUCUUCGGAUUGUAAACUCCUGUUGUUGAGGAAGAUAAUGACGGUACUCAACAAGGAAGUGACGGCUAACUACGUGCCAGCAGCCGCGGUAAAACGUAGGUCACAGGCGUUGUCCGGAAUUACUGGGUGUAAAGGGAGCGCAGGCGGGAGAACAAGUUGGAAGUGAAAUCCAUGGGCUCAACCCAUGAACUGCUUUCAAAACUGUUUUUCUUGAGUAGUGCAGAGGUAGGCGGAAUUCCCGGUGUAGCGGUGGAAUGCGUAGAUAUCGGGAGGAACACCAGUGGCGAAGGCGGCCUACUGGGCACCAACUGACGCUGAGGCUCGAAAGUGUGGGUAGCAAACAGGAUUAGAUACCCUGGUAGUCCACACCGUAAACGAUGAUUACUAGGUGUUGGAGGAUUGACCCCUUCAGUGCCGCAGUUAACAAAAUAAGUAAUCCACCUGGGGAGUACGACCGCAAGG